GAAAUUGAAGUCAUCUAACAAUGAUGUCUUAGCUGAAUAACUCUUAAAAAUUUUCAGCAUUUCCAAACCUUGCUCAAGUCCUAUCUCUUGUGUGUCUCUGCUAAAAGUUACAGGCCUCCUAUCAUUAUUUUCCAGGAUGAUAUGCCGCAGCUGACUGUUAGGAAUGUCUUUUAUGACAUGCCAUUUAACUGGGAAGAAACCGUUCCAUUUGUCGAGUUGCCAAAAGUCCAUGUCUUUAUCAAAAUCUACCUGCCCAACCAUCUCAGCUAUCCCAACAAAUUGUCCACUUCCAUUAACCGAGAAAAAGAGGAAAAUUGGACAUUUUGUGCCAGUUCCACCUGAUCUCUGUUCUGCAUCACGGAAUGCUGCAUCUAGCUUCUUAUUGCCAUUUGGAGUACUUGCCCAUACAUCAUACUUAACGCUCUUAUGAAUGUCAUCUUCAUUGUAAGAUUUGAUGACGUAGAACUUAGCAUGUGUGUACUCAGUUUCAAAAUCAGGUUGGUUAUACUGAUCCCUUUGUACAGUGAUUCCCAAGUCUUCCUUGACAGCAGUGUCCGGAGGAGAAAUUUCAUUAGAAGCCCUAGGACCGCAAGUUAAUUCAGUUGAUGUUUCAAAAUCACUCUUUUUAUAGAAUCUGUCUAUUGAUUUAUUUCUAUCAUUUCCAUUCCAUAUCCUUCCAUUCUGUCUAUAGUUCACAGGAUCAUUGUGCGGGAAUGGACCUUGUUUUUGGAUAGAAAAAGGAGGCAAAUUUCCUACAGGAUGGUAUCCUUUCGAGAGACCUGCUGAGAAAUCAGAACCCAAUGUGGACACCUGUAAUCAAAAAAGUUAAAUCAGCCAGUGUUAUCAAAGGUGGGCGAGGCGCCCAGGCGAGGCGCCAAGCGAGGCGAGGCGCCAAGCGAGGCGAGGCGCCCCUAUGUCGCCUCGACUGGAACGCCCGGCUCGACUUGGAGGAGGCGACGCCUCCUGCCGGAGAGGCGAGAGGCGACGUAGGCGAGAGGUGACGCCUCUUCACAGCAACGGUAAAGUGUUUUUUUUUUUUUUAAAUUAAAAAGUCAAUAAACCUAUCUGCUUACCUGAUGCAGAGCAGAGACACUUUUCUCCUCAACCUCACGAACGCUUUUCUCCUCAACGGCUCAA
rnacentral:misc_RNA from 1 species